GUGAAGACUUUGAAGAUCCUCCGACAUUGAAGACUUGAAAGGACAUCAGAGUUUUGGUAACUCGAAGACCAAAGACCGUCGAAGUUCGAGACGUGUUGCAUGCUAGAUGUGCUGAAAUGGAGAAAGUCUACACUUUUAGAAGAACAAGACAAAGAUUAGAGAUCAAAGACAAAGCUACAGCCAAGGGGGAGUUUGUUGGUGCACUUGUGUCUGUACUUUGUCUGUAUUCGGUCUGA
rnacentral:lncRNA from 1 species